UACGGGUCCAGCUUGCUGGAUGCCGACGAGCGGCGGACGGGUGAGUAAUGCAUAGGAAUCUGCCCAGUCGUGGGGGAUAACCUGGGGAAACCCAGGCUAAUACCGCAUACGUCCUACGGGAGAAAGCGGGGGCUCUUCGGACCUCGCGCGAUUGGAUGAGCCUAUGUCGGAUUAGCUAGUUGGUGAGGUAACGGCUCACCAAGGCGACGAUCCGUAGCUGGUCUGAGAGGAUGAUCAGCCACACCGGGACUGAGACACGGCCCGGACUCCUACGGGAGGCAGCAGUGGGGAAUAUUGGACAAUGGGCGCAAGCCUGAUCCAGCCAUGCCGCGUGUGUGAAGAAGGCUUUCGGGUUGUAAAGCACUUUCAGUGGGGAAGAAAGCGUGCCGGCCAAUACCCGGUACGGACGACAUCACCCACAGAAGAAGCACCGGCUAACUCCGUGCCAGCAGCCGCGGUAAUACGGAGGGUGCGAGCGUUAAUCGGAAUUACUGGGCGUAAAGCGCGCGUAGGCGGCUAAGUAAGCCGGUUGUGAAAGCCCCGGGCUCAACCUGGGAAUGGCAUCCGGAACUGUUUAGCUAGAGUGCAGGAGAGGAAGGUAGAAUUCCCGGUGUAGCGGUGAAAUGCGUAGAGAUCGGGAGGAAUACCAGUGGCGAAGGCGGCCUUCUGGACUGACACUGACGCUGAGGUGCGAAAGCAUGGGUAGCAAACAGGAUUAGAUACCCUGGUAGUCCAUGCCGUAAACGAUGUCGACUAGCCGUUGGGUCCCUUGAGGACUUAGUGGCGCAGUUAACGCGAUAAGUCGACCGCCUGGGGAGUACGGCCGCAAGGUUAAAACUCAAAUGAAUUGACGGGGGCCCGCACAAGCGGUGGAGCAUGUGGUUUAAUUCGAUGCAACGCGAAGAACCUUACCUACCCUUGACAUCCUGCGAACCCUCCCGGAGGACGGAAGGGGUGCCUUCCGGGAAACGCAAGAGACAGGUGCUGCAUGGCUUUCGUCAAGCUCCGUGUUGUGA
rnacentral:rRNA from 1 species